rnacentral:rRNA from 1 species
UACAGGGGGGUGCAAACGUUGCUCGGAAUUAUUGGGCGUAAAGCGCACGUAGGCGGUUCGUUAUGUCGGAUGUGAAAGCCCUUGGCUCAACUGAGGAAGUGCAUCCGAAACUGGCGAGCUAGAGUAUGUAAGAGGGUCGCGGAAUUCCCGGUGUAGAGGUGAAAUUCGUAGAUAUCGGGAGGAACACCGGUGGCGAAGGCGGCGACCUGGGACAAUACUGACGCUGAGGCGCGAAAGCUAGGGGAGCAAACGGG